AACGCGAAGAACCUUACCUGGGCUCGAAAUGUAGUGGAAUCCGGCAGAAACGUCGGCGUCUAGCAAUAGACCGCUAUAUAGGUGCUGCAUGGCUGUCGUCAGCUCGUGUCGUGAGAUGUUGGGUUAAGUCCCGCAACGAGCGCAACCCUUAUCUUCAGUUGCUACCAUUUAGUUGAGCACUCUGACGAAACCGCCUCGGAUAACGGGGAGGAAGGUGGGGAUGACGUCAAGUCCUCAUGGCCUUUAUGUCCAGGGCUACACACGUGCUACAAUGGCCGGUACAAACCGCUGCAACCCCGCGAGGGUGAGCUAAUCGGAAAAAGCCGGCCUCAGUUCGGAUUGGAGUCUGCAACUCGACUCCAUGAAGCUGGAAUCGCUAGUAAUCGUGGAUCAGCAUGCCACGGUGAAUACGUUCCCGGGCCUUGUA
rnacentral:rRNA from 1 species